GGAAAGAGAACGACACCGGUGUGUCGGCCGGGCUUCAAACCCGGUGGGUGGCGCCACGCGCCGCCGGGUGGGUUCGACUCCCACCUCUUUCCGCCA
rnacentral:tRNA from 1 species